GUGAAAUAAAAGCAAAAGAGUCUAAAAUAAAAGAAAAGAAAAAUGGUGAUAGAACCGUGGGUAUGAUGUGGUGAAGGAUAGGCGCCUAUGUCUCAUGGCUGUCAUCUGUCUCUUUGGCAGACGAGUCAUCAUCAAACCUGUGUUUCUUCUUCAGUAACUUCUUCAUGCGCUUGUUGAUCUUCUCUUGCUGGUCAAGCUUCUUCUUC
rnacentral:lncRNA from 1 species